rnacentral:rRNA from 1 species
UACGUAGGGUGCGAGCGUUAAUCGGAAUUACUGGGCGUAAAGCGUGCGCAGGCGGUUCGCCAAGUCAGGUGUGAAAUCCCCGGGCUUAACCUGGGAAUUGCGCCUGAAACUAGCGGGCUUGAGUGUGGCAGAGGGGGGUGGAAUUCCACGUGUAGCAGUGAAAUGCGUAGAUAUCAGGAGGAACACCGAUGGCGAAGGCAGGUCUCUGGGCUGACACUGACGCUCAUGCACGAAAGCGUGGGGAGCAAACAGG